rnacentral:rRNA from 1 species
UACGUAGGUGACAAGCGUUGUCCGGAUUUACUGGGCGUAAAGAGCGCGCAGGCGGUCGUUCAAGUCGAGUGUGAAAGCCCCCGGCUCAACUGGGGAGGGUCAUUCGAUACUGAUCGACUCGAAGGCAGGAGAGGGAAGUGGAAUUCCCGGUGUAGUGGUGAAAUGCGUAGAUAUCGGGAGGAACACCGGUGGCGAAGGCGGCAUCCUGGACCGGCAUUGACGCUGAGGAGCGAAAGCCAGGGGAGCAAACGGG